rnacentral:miRNA from 1 species
GGGGGGAUGCGAAGGCGAGAGAAAGAGAGCGAGGAAAAAUGGAAGGGCGAGAAAGAAGCUAUUUCUUUCUCGCCCCUCCCAUUUUUCCUCGCUCUCUUUCUCUCGCCUUCGCAUAACCCCC